rnacentral:rRNA from 1 species
CUUCCCCGCCGGAAGACCAAGGUUUCCUGUCCCAUGCUAAUCAGGGCAGGGUGAGUCGGCCCCUAAGGCGAGGCAGAAAUGCGUAGUCGAUGGGAAACAGGUUAAUAUUCCUGUACUUAUGUAUAUUGCGAUGGAGAGACGGAGAAGGCUAGGCUAGCACGGCGAUGGUUGUCCGUGUUUAAGGUGGUAGGUUGAGAGCUUAGGUAAAUCCGGGCCCUCUUAAGACCGAGAACUGAUGACGAGUCCUCUUUUGGACGAAGUAGUUGAUGCCAUGCUUCCAGGAAAAACUUCUAAGCUUCAGAUAUGCAUGAACCGUACCCCAAACCGACACAGGUGGUCAGGUAGAGAAUACCAAGGCGCUUGAGAGAACUCGGGUGAAGGAACUAGGCAAAAUGGCACCGUAACUUCGGGAGAAGGUGCGCCGGUUAGUGUGAAGGAUUUACUCCGUAAGCAUUGAUCGGUCGAAGAUACCAGGUGGCUGCGACUGUUUAUUAAAAACACAGCACUCUGCAAACACGAAAGUGGACGUAUAGGGUGUGACGCCUGCCCGGUGCUGGAAGGUUAAUUGAUGGGGUUAGCGUAAGCGAAGCUCUUGAUCGAAGCCCCAGUAAACGGCGGCCGUAACUAUAACGGUCCUAAGGUAGCGAAAUUCCUUGUCGGGUAAGUUCCGACCUGCACGAAUGGCGUAACGAUGGCCACACUGUCUCCACCCGAGACUCAGUGAAAUUGAAAUCGCAGUGAAGAUGCUGUGUAUCCGCGGCUAGACGGAAAGACCCCGUGAACCUUUACUAUAGCUUCACAGUGAACUUUGAACCUACUUGUGUAGGAUAGGUGGGAGGCUUUGAAACUAGGACGCCAGUUCUAGUGGAGCCAAACUUGAAAUACCACCCUGGUAUGUUUGAGGUUCUAACUCAGGUCCCUUAUCGGGAUCGAGGACACUGUGUGGUGGGUAGUUUGACUGGGGCGGUCUCCUCCCAAAGAGUAACGGAGGAGCACGAAGGUGUGCUCAGCAUGGUCGGAAAUCAUGCGUAGAGUGUAAAGGCAAAAGCGCGCUUAACUGCGAGACAGACACGUCGAGCAGGUACGAAAGUAGGUCUUAGUGAUCCGGUGGUUCUGUAUGGAAGGGCCAUCGCUCAACGGAUAAAAGGUACUCCGGGGAUAACAGGCUGAUACCGCCCAAGAGUUCACAUCGACGGCGGUGUUUGGCACCUCGAUGUCGGCUCAUCACAUCCUGGGGCUGAAGCCGGUCCCAAGGGUAUGGCUGUUCGCCAUUUAAAGUGGUACGCGAGCUGGGUUUAGAACGUCGUGAGACAGUUCGGUCCCUAUCUGCCGUGGACGUUUGAGAUUUGAGAGGAGCUGCUCCUAGUACGAGAGGACCGGAGUGGACGAACCUCUGGUGUUCCGGUUGUCACGCCAGUGGCAUUGCCGGGUAGCUAUGUUCGGACGGGAUAACCGCUGAAAGCAUCUAAGCGGGAAGCCUCCCUCAAGAUGAGAUCUCACUGGGACAUAAGUCCCCUAAAGAGCCGUUGAAGACUACGACGUUGAUAGGUUGGGUGUGUAAGUGCUGUGAGGCAUUGAGCUAACCAAUACUAAUUGCUCGUGAGGCUUGACCAU